AACCCGACUCCGUGAAGCUGGAUUCGCUGUAAUCGCGCAUCAGCCAUGGCGCGGUGAAUACGUUCCCGGGCCUUGUACACACCGCCCGUCAAGCCAUGGGAGCCGGGGUGCUUGAAGUGCGUCGCCGCAAGGCGCGCCCUAGAGCAAAACCGGUGACUGGGGCUAAGUCGUAACAAGGUAUC
rnacentral:rRNA from 1 species